UACGGAGGGGGCAAGCGUUGUCCGGAAUUAUUGGGCGUAAAGAGCUUGUAGGCGGUUUGUCGCGUCUGCUGUGAAAAUCCGGGGCUCAACCCCGGACUUGCAGUGGGUACGGGCAGACUAGAGUGUGGUAGGGGAGACUGGAAUUCCUGGUGUAGCGGUGAAAUGCGCAGAUAUCAGGAGGAACACCGAUGGCGAAGGCAGGUCUCUGGGCCACUACUGACGCUGAGAAGCGAAAGCAUGGGGAGCGAACAGG
rnacentral:rRNA from 1 species